rnacentral:ncRNA from 2 species
AAAAUUAAAUGCCUCCGAAUCAAUGUAUCUAAGGGCAUAUUGCCUAUGAGCAUUGAUCGAUAGGGUCUUUUUGGAAACGAAAAGGCCUCCCGUCUGGAAAGGAGGAAGAGCUUUAAAACC